rfam:Cariama cristata contig87211, whole genome shotgun sequence.
CAAACGGUCCUACUGAGGACCACCGCACACUGAUGAAGCAUUUUAGU